UGAGUAGACAAUCAACUGACCG
rnacentral:miRNA from 1 species